UUGAAUGUUGUGGUGAAUCCUGUGGUGAAUGUAAGGAUGAAUGUAAGGAUGAAUGUAAGGAUGAAUCCCCCAUAUACUC